GACGAACGCUGGCGGCGUGCCUAAUACAUGCAAGUUGAGCGCUGAAGGUUGGUACUUGUACCAACUGGAUGAGCAGCGAACGGGUGAGUAACGCGUGGGGAAUCUGCCUUUGAGCGGGGGACAACAUUUGGAAACGAAUGCUAAUACCGCAUAAAAACUUUAAACACAAGUUUUAAGUUUGAAAGAUGCAAUUGCAUCACUCAAAGAUGAUCCCGCGUUGUAUUAGCUAGUUGGUGAGGUAAAGGCUCACCAAGGCGAUGAUACAUAGCCGACCUGAGAGGGUGAUCGGCCACAUUGGGACUGAGACACGGCCCAAACUCCUACGGGAGGCAGCAGUAGGGAAUCUUCGGCAAUGGACGAAAGUCUGACCGGGCAACGCCGCGUGAGUGAAGAAGGUUUUCGGAUCGUAAAACCCUGUUGGUAGAGAAGAACGUUGGUGAGAGUGGAAAGCUCAUCAAGUGACGGUAACUACCCAGAAAGGGACGGCUAACUACGUG
rnacentral:rRNA from 1 species